AUGGAUGUGUCUUUUUUUAUAGUGCUCCAUGACUAUAUUUUUUAUUUGUCUUUUUCUAAAUGCGUCGAUGCCUCUUCCGAUGAUUGGGAGGGCGAGUUCUUCCUGGCCUUUACCAAGAUCAACUAUGAGAGGACGCUUUCUUACAAGUGGUAUAACGCAGAGGAAGUGAUUCUUGUAAAGAAAAUGUUGCGGUUUAGUGUGGCAUUCUGGCAUAUGUUUCGGGGUACUGGAGGAGAUCCUUUUGGUGCACCUACAAAGAACUGGCCUUGGGAGGAUGGCACAAAUUCCCUGGCCAUGGCUAAGACUAAGAGAAGAAUUGACAGGUGGUGCUUCCAUGACAGGGAUAUCGCCCCUGAUGGCAAAACACUCGCGUACACCCAGGAGAAAUCAGACCAGAAAAUAGCUCUGGCUCAUACUGUCAAGCAACCAUAUAAAAAACAUCAGUUCCAAAACAAGGAAAGAGACAAGUUCUGGGAAAGAAUGAGAAAAUAUCAUACAUGA
rnacentral:rRNA from 1 species